rnacentral:rRNA from 1 species
UACGUAGGGUGCGAGCGUUAAUCGGAAUUACUGGGCGUAAAGUGUGCGCAGGCGGCCGCGCAAGUCGAGUGUGAAAGCCCCGAGCUUAACUUGGGAAUUGCGCUCGAAACUACGUGGCUGGAGUGUGGCAGAGGAUGGUGGAAUUCCACGUGUAGCGGUGAAAUGCGUAGAGAUGUGGAGGAACACCGAUGGCGAAGGCAGCCUUCUGGGCCAACACUGACGCUCAUGCACGAAAGCGUGGGGAGCAAACAGG